GCCGCCUUUGUUUUUUUUUUGAAGUCGACAAAUAACCGCAAUCCCGUGGAGUUAUGAAGAAACGCGAACAAGAGUUACAAUACAGUGCCCACUCAGCUAGUUACCGAGACACGCCAUCCAAUAAGCACCGAAAUGAAACUCUAAAACAGGAGAAUGCAGUUAUUCGUGGUAAGACUAAUAAAGAUUAAUAGAAAAAUAUUUUUAUAAUCAAAUUAAUUAACAACAUUGUUUUUAGAUCAAUUGAAAGCAGUGGUCCAAAUUUUAGCGGAUCAAACUGUUUUAAUAAAGCAGCUGCUAAAGGAGAAGGGGGAAUUGAAUCCCAUUCGGGGACAGUUCCCAAUAAAACGUGAGGAAGAGCUUAUAGAACUGGAAGAAAAAAUAAAAUUAAAUAGGGACAUUUAUAUAACAGCAAUGAAAUCAAUUCUCCAGCCAGCUGGCGUUUUGAGCGGCUUGAACUUUAUUUUGAGUGAGGACAUUGUUCUGGCAUAUAACGUCGAUGGGGGCCAAGGGAAGAAGGCCCUUAGGACCCACAAAGGAUUUUUUUUCAGCUUUGCUAGAAUGUAUUCCGCCUGGCGAUGAGCCCCCCGAAAACACUGUACGGAAGGCAAUGCAAAGGAUGAAGAAAAGGGUGUUUAAAAAGAAGUGUCUUGCCAAAAGCCAGGAGUAGGCUAAGCAUCAUAUAAUUAAAAAUUAUUCGUUAUAUUGAAGGACAUUGUGUUUUGAUUUUUGUAUUAUUCCAGACUGCCAGAUUGACUACUACCAGUAGUCAGUUCGGAACUAGUUACUGGUAACUAGGUCAGAGCUAGCUACAGGUAAUCGAAGGGUAGUCGAGUGGGGAACUCGUUGCUGGCUUUCUACUGGUAACUAGUUCCUGAGCAACUAGCUACGGGUAAUCGAAGGGUAAUCGAGCGGGAACCAGGGGUGGUUCCGCCCUAGGACAUGCACGUGUUAAAUUCUCCGCUGAAAUACAUUGCGGAUAAUCGAUCUGGAACCAGGGAGGUGAGAAUGGUAGCUAGUGCGGCACCAGUGCGGAACUAGUUGCCUGGUACUAGAGGGCAGCUCUGUCGGAGGCGUGGCAGGUACGUAUGUUUUGUGUGUGUUUGGACCAUUUUGUGUUGAUGUGUGUAUUGACGUCAUUUUUGGUUUGUUUACAGUGGCUGCUCUGGACAUGUGCGGUGGAUUGUCAGGAGCGUCGUCAAUAAAUGCUAAAAUGUCGUCCAAUUGGCAUCAAAUGUGUGGUGUUGAUGACGGGGCAGCUGCUGGAGGGGCUGAUCUGUCGGAGGCGUGGCAGGUACUUGUGAUUAUUUGGCUGCUCUGGACCUGUGCGGUGAAUUGUCAAAGGAGUCGUCAAUAUAUUCUAAGAAUGUCGUCAA